GGUGGUAUAGCUUAGUGGUAGAGUGCAUGCUUAAAAUGCACGAGGUCCUGGGUUCAAUUCCCAGUACUUCUG
rfam:Camelus ferus unplaced genomic scaffold scaffold137, whole genome shotgun sequence.